UUAAGCGACUAAGCGUACACGGUGGAUGCCCUGGCAGUCAGAGGCGAUGAAGGACGUGCUAAUCUGCGAUAAGCGUCGGUGAGGUGAUAUGAACCGUUAUAACCGGCGAUUUCCGAAUGGGGAAACCCAGUGUGUUUCGACACACUAUCAUUAACUGAAUCCAUAGGUUAAUGAGGCGAACCGGGGGAACUGAAACAUCUAAGUACCCCGAGGAAAAGAAAUCAACCGAGAUUCCCCCAGUAGCGGCGAGCGAACGGGGAGGAGCCCAGAGCCUGAAUCAGUGUGUGUGUUAGUGGAAGCGUCUGGAAAGGCGUGCGAUACAGGGUGACAGCCCCGUACACAAAAAUGCACAUAUUGUGAGCUCGAUGAGUAGGGCGGGACACGUGGUAUCCUGUCUGAAUAUGGGGGGACCAUCCUCCAAGGCUAAAUACUCCUGACUGACCGAUAGUGAACCAGUACCGUGAGGGAAAGGCGAAAAGAACCCCGGCGAGGGGAGUGAAAAAGAACCUGAAACCGUGUACGUACAAGCAGUGGGAGCCUCUUUAUGGGGUGACUGCGUACCUUUUGUAUAAUGGGUCAGCGACUUAUAUUCUGUAGCAAGGUUAACCGAAUAGGGGAGCCGAAGGGAAACCGAGUCUUAACUGGGCGUUAAGUUGCAGGGUAUAGACCCGAAACCCGGUGAUCUAGCCAUGGGCAGGUUGAAGGUUGGGUAACACUAACUGGAGGACCGAACCGACUAAUGUUGAAAAAUUAGCGGAUGACUUGUGGCUGGGGGUGAAAGGCCAAUCAAACCGGGAGAUAGCUGGUUCUCCCCGAAAGCUAUUUAGGUAGCGCCUCGUGAAUUCAUCUCCGGGGGUAGAGCACUGUUUCGGCAAGGGGGUCAUCCCGACUUACCAACCCGAUGCAAACUGCGAAUACCGGAGAAUGUUAUCACGGGAGACACACGGCGGGUGCUAACGUCCGUCGUGAAGAGGGAAACAACCCAGACCGCCAGCUAAGGUCCCAAAGUCAUGGUUAAGUGGGAAACGAUGUGGGAAGGCCCAGACAGCCAGGAUGUUGGCUUAGAAGCAGCCAUCAUUUAAAGAAAGCGUAAUAGCUCACUGGUCGAGUCGGCCUGCGCGGAAGAUGUAACGGGGCUAAACCAUGCACCGAAGCUGCGGCAGCGACACUAUGUGUUGUUGGGUAGGGGAGCGUUCUGUAAGCCUGUGAAGGUGGCCUGUGAGGGUUGCUGGAGGUAUCAGAAGUGCGAAUGCUGACAUAAGUAACGAUAAAGCGGGUGAAAAGCCCGCUCGCCGGAAGACCAAGGGUUCCUGUCCAACGUUAAUCGGGGCAGGGUGAGUCGACCCCUAAGGCGAGGCCGAAAGGCGUAGUCGAUGGGAAACAGGUUAAUAUUCCUGUACUUGGUGUUACUGCGAAGGGGGGACGGAGAAGGCUAUGUUGGCCGGGCGACGGUUGUCCCGGUUUAAGCGUGUAGGCUGGUUUUCCAGGCAAAUCCGGAAAACCAAGGCUGAGGCGUGAUGACGAGGCACUACGGUGCUGAAGCGACAAAUGCCCUGCUUCCAGGAAAAGCCUCUAAGCAUCAGGUAACAUCAAAUCGUACCCCAAACCGACACAGGUGGUCAGGUAGAGAAUACCAAGGCGCUUGAGAGAACUCGGGUGAAGGAACUAGGCAAAAUGGUGCCGUAACUUCGGGAGAAGGCACGCUGAUAUGUAGGUGAAGCGACUUGCUCGUGGAGCUGAAAUCAGUCGAAGAUACCAGCUGGCUGCAACUGUUUAUUAAAAACACAGCACUGUGCAAACACGAAAGUGGACGUAUACGGUGUGACGCCUGCCCGGUGCCGGAAGGUUAAUUGAUGGGGUUAGCGGUAACGCGAAGCUCUUGAUCGAAGCCCCGGUAAACGGCGGCCGUAACUAUAACGGUCCUAAGGUAGCGAAAUUCCUUGUCGGGUAAGUUCCGACCUGCACGAAUGGCGUAAUGAUGGCCAGGCUGUCUCCACCCGAGACUCAGUGAAAUUGAACUCGCUGUGAAGAUGCAGUGUACCCGCGGCAAGACGGAAAGACCCCGUGAACCUUUACUAUAGCUUGACACUGAACAUUGAGCCUUGAUGUGUAGGAUAGGUGGGAGGCUUUGAAGUGUGGACGCCAGUCUGCAUGGAGCCGACCUUGAAAUACCACCCUUUAAUGUUUGAUGUUCUAACGUUGGCCCGUAAUCCGGGUUGCGGACAGUGUCUGGUGGGUAGUUUGACUGGGGCGGUCUCCUCCUAAAGAGUAACGGAGGAGCACGAAGGUUGGCUAAUCCUGGUCGGACAUCAGGAGGUUAGUGCAAUGGCAUAAGCCAGCUUGACUGCGAGCGUGACGGCGCGAGCAGGUGCGAAAGCAGGUCAUAGUGAUCCGGUGGUUCUGAAUGGAAGGGCCAUCGCUCAACGGAUAAAAGGUACUCCGGGGAUAACAGGCUGAUACCGCCCAAGAGUUCAUAUCGACGGCGGUGUUUGGCACCUCGAUGUCGGCUCAUCACAUCCUGGGGCUGAAGUAGGUCCCAAGGGUAUGGCUGUUCGCCAUUUAAAGUGGUACGCGAGCUGGGUUUAGAACGUCGUGAGACAGUUCGGUCCCUAUCUGCCGUGGGCGCUGGAGAACUGAGGGGGGCUGCUCCUAGUACGAGAGGACCGGAGUGGACGCAUCACUGGUGUUCGGGUUGUCAUGCCAAUGGCACUGCCCGGUAGCUAAAUGCGGAAGAGAUAAGUGCUGAAAGCAUCUAAGCACGAAACUUGCCCCGAGAUGAGUUCUCCCUGACUCCUAGAGUGUCCUGAAGGAACGUUGAAGACGACGACGUUGAUAGGCCGGGUGUGUAAGCGCAGCGAUGCGUUGAGCUAACCGGUACUAAUGAACCGUGAGGCUUAACCUU
rnacentral:rRNA from 2 species